CCUAGAGGAGCCUGUUCUAUAAUCGAUAACCCCCGCUUAACCUCACCACUUCUUGCCAAUACCGCCUAUAUACCACCGUCGCCAGCCCACCCCGUGAGGGAAAUAGUAGGCACAAUGAUAAGUCACCAAAACGUCAGGUCAAGGUGUAGCGUAUGAAGUGGAAAGAAAUGGGCUACAUUCUCUAACCUAGAGCACACGAAAAAUCAUAUGAAAUUAAAUUAGAAGGAGGAUUUAGUAGUAAAAAGAAACAAUAGUGUUCUUUUUAAGUUGGCCCUGGGGCGCGCACACACCGCCCGUCACCCUCUUCAACUAAUAAAACACGAUUUAUAAAACACAAAACAAACACAAGAAGAGGUAAGUCGUAACAUGGUAAGUAUACCGGAAGGUGUGCUUGGAAUUA
rnacentral:rRNA from 1 species